CAAUGGGCGAAAGCCUGAUGCAGCGACGCCGCGUGGGGGAUGACGGCCUUCGGGGUUGUAAACCCCUUUCAGUAGGGAAGAAGCGAGAGUGACGGUACCUGCAGAAGAAGCGCCGGCUAACUACGUGCCAGCAGCCGCGGUAAUACGUAGGGCGCAAGCGUUGUCCGGAAUUAUUGGGCGUAAAGAGCUUGUAGGUGGCUUGUCGCGUCUGCCGUGAAAACCCGAGGCUCAACCUCGGGCGUGCGGUGGGUACGGGCAGGCUAGAGUGUGGUAGGGGAGACUGGAACUCCUGGUGUAGCGGUGAAAUGCGCAGAUAUCAGGAAAAACACCGAUGGCGAAGGCAGGUCUCUGGGCCAUUACUGACACUGAGAAGCGAAAGCAUGGGUAGCGAACAGGAUUAGAUACCCUGGUAGUCCAUGCCGUAAACGUUGGGCACUAGGUGUGGGGGACAUUCCACGUUUUCCGCGCCGUAGCUAACGCAUUAAGUGCCCCGCCUGGGGAGUACGGCCGCAAGGCUAAAACUCAAAGGAAUUGACGGGGGCCCGCACAAGCGGCGGAGCAUGCUGAUUAAUUCGAUGCAACGCGAAGAACCUUACCAAGGCUUGACAUGCACUGGACG
rnacentral:rRNA from 1 species